rnacentral:rRNA from 1 species
UACAGAGGGGGCAAGCGUUGUUCGGAAUUACUGGGCGUAAAGGGCGCGUAGGCGGCCCGCUAAGUCGGACGUGAAAUCCCCAGGCUCAACCUGGGAACUGCGUCCGAUACUGGAUGGCUUGAAUCCGGGAGAGGGAUGCAGAAUUCCAGGUGUAGCGGUGAAAUGCGUAGAUAUCUGGAGGAAUACCGGUGGCGAAGGCGGCAUCCUGGACCGGCAUUGACGCUGAGGAGCGAAAGCCAGGGGAGCAAAGCGGG